CUUACAUGGCUUCGCUUGUCAUCUACCUCAAUGGCAUCUUCUGUUAUAACUUUCAGCUCUUCCAGAGAAUAGGGAUGCUCUGGAUCUUUUAUAUCUCUAAGGUAGUGUAAGAAUGUUAAGGAAUGAUUACCUAUUCAUAUCUAUAAAUUUAACCCGAAAAAUUAAAAUUCAUACUUGCUUAUUUCCCUUCGAAGUGACACAAUGAUAACCCAAACAGGCAGAAAAAGAUUUAGAAGGAUCCUAUUAGAAUACAUAAUCAAAUGGAUGUACUCAUGUUACUCGUCGAAGGACACUGACAUUUGUGAAGCAAAAGGAGAAGUAGGAUAUAAUGUAAAAGUUCAUCAAGCAGUAAAUUGAAGAUUGCAAUUGGUUACACUGACCCAUACUUUAAUCGAAUAGGAAGUAUACAAAGAUAAUCGAUCUCAGAUUGAACAGUAUCACCUCAGAUCAGUCCCGGAAGCAGUGUGACCCUGAAAAUCUUCAUGACAUGUGAUCCUAUAAUAUUCUACUAUUUGCUAAGAAUAGCAAACCAAUGCGCACUUCAAAUUGCCAUGGACAAAAACACAAAAGAUAUAAAACAAAUGUUGAAGUGCAAGUAAUGCAUGCCCUCAUCACCCUCUCCUCUCUCCCCCUCCCCACAAAUAUGGUUAUGUGGAGGGUGUGAGUUGAGGCUUUCCUUUCCGAACAUUAUAGAAUCUCAUGUCAGAGAGAGCUGACAAUCCAACAAAUUCGUAUAAGACAUGAAGGGGAAGUUCAACAGAAAUUGAAAUUUAGGGAGAAUUCCUAGGAUUGGGAGAUGGAUGAAUCUCAAAACCUGGUUGAUCUUUGUUUGGAAAGAGUACCAUAUGCUACAUCAGAUCCGUGGAGCAUGAGGAUUAGGGACGACUUGUUCACAGUUAAAGUCAUAUUAACAGAGUUUGUACAAGAAAAGAGAAAGCUUGCAAACACAAUUCAUGAACCUUUAAGUCAUAUUAACAGAGUUUGUACCAGAAAAGAGAAAGCUUGCAACAUAUUUCGCGCACCAAGGUGCAAAAGGUUUUCUCCAUUGAUUGUUUGCAUAGAAUGACAUGUCCCGUUAAUAAAUAUAAGAAAAAGUUAUGAAGAAAAGGAGCAAAGGGUUCUUUCUCCACUUCAUCUUUCACAUUGAACUAUAGAGUACAAAAAUAAAUAUCAGAAACAAGUAAGACGAAAUUAACUCUACUUUGCAAAUUCAAAGACCUCCUCCAGGUAUUCUAUGUAUCGUUACUCAUAGACUUAACAUGCUAGUACUGCUCCGUUUGAAAUCUGAAUGAUUGUAUUUGAGAGAAUAAAACUCACAGAUUCUGAAGUGGAUGGGUUUUAGCCUCAUAGAUAGUCCCUUAUCAUAGAAAGAUUAAUUUCAAGUCAAACAUAACAGGUAGAAUUCAUUCAGAAGGAUAUCAAAAAUUUCUAGCUGGUCGAUAGUUUCAGCUGAAUGUUCAGCCGUACUUGGAGCAAUCCUAGCUUGACGCUCCUUCUUCUCAUACACAAUGGGAUUGGCAUUUAUCAAUUCAGAAACCAUCUUCAAGUCUGACCUUAGUAAGAUUCACCUGUCAGUUACGAUGUCUAUCAAGAUCAUAAAAAACCUACUAACUUCCUUUGGAAUAAAAAUAAAUAAACUUCCAAACUUCAAAAUUGUCUUCUUUUUUGUUGGUUUCCCACUUGGUUAUGAUACCCGCAUUGGAGCCCGACUAAUUCGCAUUCGCGCAUUGCAAGGCCCCUUUUGGGAGGCUGCGCUACCAGGGCUCAAUUCGAGACCUAACCAUCCCAC
rnacentral:lncRNA from 1 species